GGAUCCAGACUUUGAUUAUGGCUCAGGGUGAACGCUAGCUACAGGCUUAACACAUGCAAGUCGAGGGGAAACGAUAGAGAAAGCUUGCUUUUUCUAGGCGUCGACCGGCGCACGGGUGAGUAGCGCGUAUCCAACCUGCCCAUCACUUGGGGAUAACCUUGCGAAAGUAAGACUAAUACCCAAUGACGUCUCUAGAAGACAUCUGAAAGAGAUUAAAGAUUUAUCGGUGAUGGAUGGGGAUGCGUCUGAUUAGCUUGUUGGCGGGGUAACGGCCCACCAAGGCGACGAUCAGUAGGGGUUCUGAGAGGAAGGUCCCCCACAUUGGAACUGAGACACGGUCCAAACUCCUACGGGAGGCAGCAGUGAGGAUUAUUGGUCAAUGGACGAGAGUCUGAACCAGCCAAGUAGCGUGCAGGAAGACGGCCCUAUGGGUUGUAAACUGCUUUUAUAAGGGGAUAAAGUGAGUCUCGUGAGACUUUUUGCAUGUACCUUAUGAAUAAGGACCGGCUAAUUCCGUGCCAGCAGCCGCGGUAAUACGGAAGGUCCGGGCGUUAUCCGGAUUUAUUGGGUUUAAAGGGAGCGUAGGCCGGAGAUUAAGCGUGUUGUGAAAUGUAGACGCUCAACGUCUGCACUGCAGCGCGAACUGGUUUCCUUGAGUACGCACAAAGUGGGCGGAAUUCGUGGUGUAGCGGUGAAAUGCUUAGAUAUCACGAAGAACUCCGAUUGCGAAGGCAGCUCACUGGAGCGCAACUGACGCUGAAGCUCGAAAGUGCGGGUAUCGAACAGGAUUAGAUACCCUGGUAGUCCGCACGGUAAACGAUGGAUGCCCGCUGUUGGUCUGAAUAGGUCAGCGGCCAAGCGAAAGCAUUAAGCAUCCCACCUGGGGAGUACGCCGGCAACGGUGCAACUCAAAUGAAUUGACGG
rnacentral:rRNA from 1 species